CCCGCUGAACUUAAGCAUAUCAAUAAGCGGAGGAAAAGAAACUAACAAGGAUUCCCCUAGUAACUGCGAGUGAAGCGGGAAAAGCUCAAAUUUAAAAUCUGGUGGCCUUUGGCCAUCCGAGUUGUAAUUUAGAGAAGCGUCUUCCGCGCUGGACCGUGCACAAGUCUCCUGGAAUGGAGCGUCGUAGAGGGUGAGAAUCCCGUCUUUGGCACGGACGCCCAGUGCUUCUGUGAUGCGCUCUCGAAGAGUCGAGUUGUUUGGGAAUGCAGCUCAAAAUGGGUGGUGAACUCCAUCUAAAGCUAAAUAUUGGCGAGAGACCGAUAGCGAACAAGUACCGUGAGGGAAAGAUGAAAAGCACUUUGGAAAGAGAGUGAAACAGUACGUGAAAUUGUUGAAAGGGAAACGCUUGAAGUCAGUCGCGUCGUCCGAGACUCAGCCUCGCCUCGGCUUGAUGUACUUCUCGGACGACGGGUCAGCAUCAAUUUUGCCCCUUGGAUAAUGGCGAGGGAAAUGUGACACCUUUGCGGGUGUGUUAUAGUCUCUAGUCGCAUGCAAGGGUCGGGAUUGAGGAACUCAGCACGCGCCUUCGGGCGUCGGGGUUCGCCCACGAUACGUGCUUAGGAUGUUGGCGUAAUGGCUUUAAACGACCCGUCUUGAAACACGG
rnacentral:rRNA from 1 species